rnacentral:tRNA from 1 species
GGAGAAUUGGCCGAGUGGCUGAAGGCGCACGAUUGGAAAUCGUGUAAACGUGAUGAGCGUUUCGAGGGUUCAAAUCCCUCAUUCUCCGCCA